UCUGAAUUUAAAACACAACUAUAUGUCUGUCAUUAAUGAAACAAGCUUCCCAGAUGACCUUUUGUCCAGACUAGAAACAUUAAAUCUAGCUUAUAAUCCUUUUUCGUGUAUUUGCGACCAAAUGUGGUUCCGAAACUGGAUUCAAAAGAAUGGUUCGAUUUUAAAGGAGUAUCCAAAUCAAUACAAAUGCAUACAUCCCAAUAAAAUGAAUGGAAUUUUACUAAGAGAUUAUAAACCUACAGACAAAAUGUGCAAUCCAUGGAAUCCUCUGUAUACUAUGGCAAUUGUCGUGGGAAUGGUUGUUAUAUCGUUUAUUACUGUUGGUUCUAUCACUGCAAAGUGUCAGGGCAAUAUUAAGAACUAUAUAUAUUUACUACGUGUAUAUCGCAACCGGAAAAAGGGAUAUAUCCCUCUUGACAGUGAAGAAGAUUACGAAUAUCACGCUUUUGUUGUGUAUUGCGAUAACGAUAGGAAAUGGGUUCACAACGAUCUCUUGAACAAGCUUGAAAAUGAAGAAGGACUACAACUCUGUAUUCACCACAGAAAUUUCAUAGUAGGAGAUGCUAUUAGUGUUAAUGUUGAUAAUUUCCUUAAAAAGUCAUGGAAAGUUUUAGUUAUUGUAUCGAACAAUUUCGCACAAAGUGAAUGGUGUCAGUGGGAGGUAGAUGUUGUACAAGAGAGACGCCGACGUCAAGGGAAAGAAGUCAUUGUUCCUAUAAUACUUGAUACGAUUGACUCAAAACACAUGACUAGUCAGCUACGUACAUUACUGGAUAGUACACCCUCCUUAAGGUACCGAUCCGGUGUAGGAUCAGAACUAUUCUGGAAAGUUUUAUUGGAGAGUUUAAGAAAACCACUUGGACAUCCGCCAACCUCUUUACUUUAUUCAGGAAUUGAACAUUCAAGCUUUAAUGGUCAAACAAGAGUUUCACUUGAGACUGAAUCGCCUACCUGGUAAAAAUGCAACAGUCUACAAACAAGGAAUAAUUUAGUCUUAGAUGCAUGAUUUUUUGAUUAGUUGUUAGUGGCUUUGAAAUAGCUGUCAGAUAACUGCGAGUACUCUCAGAUCUGUUCCUAGUGUCUUUUUGUUGUUGAGAUGUACAAGUACCCGGCCACGUCCACUUGUCUUUUUU
rnacentral:lncRNA from 1 species